UGCGCAGGCGGGGCAAUAAGUCAGUGGUGAAAUCCUGCGGCUUAACCGUAGAACUGCCAUUGAUACUGUUGCCCUUGAGUAUAGUUGGGGUGGGCGGAAUAUGUAAUGUAGCGGUGAAAUGCAUAGAUAUUACAUAGAGCACCAAUUGCGAAGGCAGCUCACUAAGCUAUCACUGACGCUGAGGCACGAAAGCGUGGGGAGCGAACAGGAUUAGAUACCCUGGUAGUCC
rnacentral:rRNA from 1 species